UACAGAGGGGGCAAGCGUUGUUCGGAAUUACUGGGCGUAAAGGGCGCGUAGGCGGUUCGCUAAGUUGGAUGUGAAAACUCUGGGCUCAACCCAGAGCCUGCAUCCAAAACUGGCGGGCUAGAGUUCUGGAGGGGGUAGCGGAAUUCCUGGUGUAGCGGUGAAAUGCGUAGAUAUCAGGAGGAACACCGGUGGCGAAGGCGGCUACCUGGACAGAAACUGACGCUGGAGGCGCGAAAGCUAGGGGAGCAAACAGG
rnacentral:rRNA from 1 species